AAUAUUUUUGGCAAAAUAUGAAUUAGAACAAUUCUAUAUUACAAUUUUGUACUUAUUUGAUCGAAUCUAAUAAGGAUGGCUCUGAUAUCACUAUUGGGUUCUGGUCAUGCAGUAGAAAGUAAAUUUUAAAAUUUUUUAAACAUACAUAUCAAGAGCUUUAAUAUUUAAAACUAUCGAAUUGAAAUCCAAACUCUAGAAUCACCUUGUAGAUGUCGAACAAAACAAAAUCAAGCAUGCAAAAAGAUUAAAAUUUAUACAUUCUCCAACGAGUAGUACGGUAAGUAGGUGAUCUCCACGAGAUUUCAAAGUAGAAGUUCUCCAAC
rnacentral:lncRNA from 1 species